rnacentral:rRNA from 1 species
GACGAACGCUGGCGGCGUGCCUAAUACAUGCAAGUUGAGCGCUGAAGGUUGGUACUUGUACCGACUGGAUGAGCAGCGAACGGGUGAGUAACGCGUGGGGAAUCUGCCUUUGAGCGGGGGACAACAUUUGGAAACGAAUGCUAAUACCGCAUAAAAACUUUAAACACAAGUUUUAAGUUUGAAAGAUGCAAUUGCAUCACUCAAAGAUGAUCCCGCGUUGUAUUAGCUAGUUGGUGAGGUAAAGGCUCACCAAGGCGAUGAUACAUAGCCGACCUGAUAGGGUGAUCGGCCGCAUUGGGACUGUGACACGGCCCAAAAUCCUACAGGAGGCAGCAGUAAGGGAACUUCGGCAAGGGACGAGAGUCUGACCGAGCGACGCCGCGUGAGUGAAGAAGGUUUUCGGAUCGUAAAACUCUGUUGGUAGGGAAGAACGUUGGUGAGAGUGGAAAGCUCAUCAUGUGACGGUAACUACACAGAAAGAGACGGCUAACUACGUG